rnacentral:tRNA from 1 species
UAACAGAUAUCUACCUAUUCUAUCUAUAUAGAUAGAAUAGGUAGAUAGAAUAGGUAGAUAGAAUAGGUAGAU